rnacentral:rRNA from 1 species
UGCUUAUCUAACUUGCCAAUUAGUGGGGGAUAACCGUGGGAAACCAUGGCUAAUACCGCAUUUGUUACUUCGGUAAUGAAAGGGGGUCACAAGACUUUCGCUAAUUGAGAGGGAUAAGUCGUAUUAGUUAGUUGGUGGGGUAAAGGCCUACCAAGACAAUGAUGCGUAGCCAGGCUGAGAGGCUGAAUGGCCACAAGGGAACUGAGAUACGGUCCCUACUCCUACGGGAGGCAGCAGUGAGGAAUUUUCGGCAAUGGGGGCAACCCUGACCGAGCAAUACUACGUGAAGGAGGAAGGUCUAAGGAUUGUAAACUUCUGUUAGCAUAGAAGAAGGACUGAGCGUAAGUUCAGUUUUGACGGUAUAUGCAGAGAAAGCGACGACUAACUAUGUGCCAGCAGUCGCGGUAAGACAUAGGUCGCGAACGUUAUCCGGAAUUAUUGGGCGUAAAGGGUGCGUAGAUGGUAAAGUAAGUUAUCAGUGGGAAAUCGAGGCUCAACCUCGUGGAAGCUGGUAAUACUGCUAUACUAGAGUGCAGGAGAGGUUAACGGAACUCCAUGUGGAGCGGUAAAAUGCGUAGAUAUAUGGAAGAACAUCAAUAACGGCGAAGGCAGUUAACCAUUCUGCUACUGACAUUGAGGCACGAAAGCGUGGGGAGCAAAAAGGAUUAGAUACCCUUGUAGUCCACGCCCUAAACGAUGAGUGCUAGAUAUUGGACCAUUAGGUUCAGUGUCGCUAGUUAACACGAUAAGCACUCCGCCUGGGUAGUACGCUCGCAAGAGUGAAACUCAAAGGAAUUGACGGGGACUCGCACAAGCAGUGGAGCAUGUGGUUUAAUCCGAUGCAACGCGUAGAACCUUACCAAGGCUUGACAUGUAGUGCAAAGCUAGGGAAACCUAGUGGAGGUUAUCAUUACACAGGUGCUGCAUGGCCGUCGUCAGUUCGUGCCGUGAGGUGUAUGGUUAAGUCCUAUAACGAACGCAACCCUUGUGCUUAGUUACCAGCAUUAAGUUGGGGACUCUAAGCAGACUGCCAGGGUAACCUGGAGGAAGGAAAGGAUGACGUUUGAUCAUC